rnacentral:rRNA from 1 species
UAAUGUAUGGGGAUCUGCCCGAUAGAGGGGGAGUAAUACUGGAAACGGCGGCUAAUACCGCAUAAUGUCUACGGACCAAAGCAGGGGCUCUUCGGACCUUGCACUAUCGGAUGAACCCAUAUGGGAUUAGCUAGUAGGUGGGGUAAAGGCUCACCUAGGCGACGAUCUCUAGCUGGUCUGAGAGGAUGAUCAGCCACACUGGGACUGAGACACGGCCCAG